rnacentral:ribozyme from 9 species
GGAACGGCCGCACUCUGCACAGUCGAUUGCCUGGAGGGGCAGCGGUGUUGAGAGCGAAGGCACGGGUACAGAAAUGCACGUUGCGUGCCCAGGCGGAUCA